UUUAAACCUGGACAAGUGCCUUCUUCAGUGCAUGCGUUCUCGUUUACGCAUGUUGCAGUUUGUAAAUCCUGUGAGCGAACCCGGCCACCAGUUUACCACUGUUCACUGUCACUCUUAUCUGUUUCAUAACGAUGUCAUUCGAGAGCUCUGUAAGUAGUGGUGCUGAAGCAGGAGCCCCCAAAAAUCAGUAACUCCCGGAAGGAAUCGAGAUGCUACCAGACAUGAUGAAGACUGCCCCCCUGGCGCAGGGAACAGAGAUGCUGAUUUCCAGCAGAGCAUCAGUGAAAUAUUAGCGACAAUGUCAGGAAAAGAAAAUGUGGCCUCAGGGCAGAAACAUACCACACCAAGAGCGAGCGGGUUUAUGCGGCGCGGUUUUCCACUUGCAAGCGCGCAUUUUGCAAGGAUGGUGACUAAAGGUUCUCCUGGAUUCCCCGUUUCAGACCAUAAUCCCCCCGUGAUACAGAUGUCAGGGGUUCCAUCCUCAGUCCAUGUGAAUGAGUGGGCCAGAGUGUCCCGCGCGUGCUGUAUUUUCUCGCCAGCAAGAAAUACACGCAGGACACUCGGAUCCUUCUGCAGACAAGCUUUAAUGCAUCAGCUUACCAGAGCGGAGACUGAGCGGAGACACUGAACCAAGAAAACCCAUCCCUAAUAAAGGCUGGCCAGCCGCCUGGGACGUGUUACCC
rnacentral:lncRNA from 1 species